UCAGUUCGGAUUGAAGGCUGAAAUUCGCCUACAUGAAGCUGGAAUUGCUAGUAAUGGCAGGUCAGCAUACUGCCGUGAAUACGUUCCCGGGCCUUGUACACACCGCCCGUCACACCAUGAGAGUUGGGGAUACCCGAAGCCUGUGAGCCAACUGUAAAGAGGCAGCAGUCGAAGGUAGAAUCAAUGAUUGGGGUGAAGUCGUAACAAGGUAAC
rnacentral:rRNA from 1 species